rnacentral:rRNA from 1 species
AGCCCUUGCGGGGUGGAUUAGUGGGCGAACGGGUGAGUAACACGUGGGCAAUCUGCCCUGCACUCUGGGACAAGCCCUGGAAACGGGGUCUAAUACCGGAUAUCACUUUUCCUCGCAUGGGGGAGGGUUGAAAGCUCCGGCGGUGCAGGAUGAGCCCGCGGCCUAUCAGCUUGUUGGGGGGGUGAUGGCCUACCAAGGGGACGACGGGUAGCCGGCCUGAGAGGGCGACCGGCCACACUGGGACUGAGACACGGCCCAGACUCCUACGGGAGGCAGCAGUGGGGAAUAUUGCACAAUGGGCGGAAGCCUGAUGCAGCGACGCCGGGUGAGGUAUGACGGCCUUCGGGUUGUAAACCUCUUUCAGCAGGGAAAAAGCGUGAGUGACGGUACCUGCAGAAGAAGCGCCGGCUAACUACGUGCCACCAGCCGCGGUAAUACGUAGGGCGCAAGCGUUGUCCGGAAUUAUUGGGCGUAAAGAGCUCGUAGGCGGCUUGUCGCGUCGGUUGUGAAAGCCCGGCCCUUAACCCCGGGCCUGCAGUCUAUACGGGCAGGCUAGAGUUGGGUAGGGGAUAUCGAAAUUCCUGAUGUAGCGGGGAAAUGCGCAGAUAUCAGGAGGAACACCGGUGGCGAACGUGGAUCUCUGCGCCGAUACUGACGAUGACGAGCGAAAGUGUGGGUAGUGGAACAGGAUUAGAUACCCUGCUAGUCCACGCCAUAAACCGUAGAGAUACUACGUGUGGCGCGCACAUU